rnacentral:misc_RNA from 1 species
AACCUUAUGGACCUGCGGGCGUAUACCUGCGGAAGGAUCAUUACAGAGUUCAUGCCCUCACGGGUAGAUCUCCCACCCUUGCGUAUUUAUACCUUUGUUGCUUUGGCAGGCCGCCUGGGCUCGCGCCUGGCCACCGGCUCCCGGGCUGGUGCGUGCCUGCCAGAGGAUCUCCAAACUCUAGUUAUCAGUGUUGUCUGAGUACUAUACAAUAGUUAAAACUUUUAACAACGGAUCUCAGAU